rnacentral:rRNA from 1 species
AUGGCCUUGCCGGCGAUCCCUAACGAGAUCCUGGCGGAUAUCUUCCUCCGCCUUCCCACCCCCAGAGGAUCUCAUCCGCGCCUCCGCCGCCUGCGUCUCCUUCCGCCGCCUCGUCGCCGACCACGCCUUCCUCCGGCGCUUCCGCAAGCUCCACCCUCCGCCCUCCUCGGCUUCGUCGACUACAGAGGCUUCCACCCCGCCGAACCGCCUCACCCCUCCGCGCCGGCGGCCAGCGCGGUCGCCAGCGCCGCGGACUUCGACUUCAAGUUCCCCCCCGAUGGCGAUACGGACUUGGACUGGACCGUGCGGGAAGUCCGCGACGGUCGCGUCCUCCUCGACAGACCCCGCCGCCACGACGAGCUCGAACCGCUCUUCAAGGAGAUGGUGGUGUGCGACCCCCUGCACCGGCAGUACCUCCUGCUUCCCCCAAUCCCCAGUGACCUAGCCGCUCCAGUGGUGAGCCAACUCCUGAUAGAAAGGUCGUGCUUGGCCCAGUGCUUCCUCGCCCCUCCCAGCGACGACCAAAUGGCAACCGCGACGGAGGAGACGUCAUUCAGAGUGAUCUGGCUGGUGGUGCUCCAGACCAGACCGGUGGCCCUCGUAUUCUCCUCCGGCACAGGGCAAUGGCAAGCCCCGAGUCGGAGCGAGUCGUUACCUGGCUUUUUGUUAUCGACAUGGAAGGUUUGGUUUGUGUCGCGCCAUUAUGCACAUGGUUGCUUCGACUGGGUUUCAGGUUCAUGUGAAAAACUGCUCGUGCUUGACAUCCAGAGGAUGGAGUUCUCCAUGGCUGACCACCCACCCUGUGUCAGAUUCCGGGGCGACGAUGUGGCAAUCGCGGAGGCAGGCCAAGGCAUGACUGUGAUGUUUGUGCCUAAACCGGACACAGAUCGCCGUAUUUAUACUGUUUGGCGGCGAAGCAAUGGUGGGAGUUCCGCCAAGUGGCAGAUGGAGAAUGAGACAUUCUCGCUGGAUUCUGGCUCCUUGAUCAAGGGUGCGGUGGGGAGGCACUUGCUCCUAUAUUAUGUUGGAAGCGUGUCGGUCAAGCCAGGUUGUUACAUCCGGGAUGUCGACACUUUGCAGCUUGAGAGGGUGUGUGAUUGA